AUUAAAAGCCAUGUGAUCUUAAACUUCAUUAAAAAAAAAUACAGCAAAAUGCUAUAAGCUAUACCAUGAUACCAUUUUCAGUGGGAUAGAAAUUCAUGGAAUUUAUAUUGGUAACCUGGAGUCAGAAUUGGAGAGAAGGGUUACCAUCUGAAUGUCAGAAACACAUCUUAAUUAUAAAUAUACAAUUUAGGAUCCACCAAAAAUUCAGUAUGAGGACUGGAAUGAAGAAUGACAGCUCAGGCAUUUAGCUUUAUGAUAAAUGACUUCACUCUGAGAGGAUUCCACUAUAGUAUUGAAAGUGCUUAUAUUAUGGUAAAAAAGAAAAUGUCAAAACAGUUUCCCGGAUUUGAGGAGAAAAUGUGCUGCAUCAUAUGUCUUGAUCAGCCUGUCUUUUAUUAAAUCUCUGAAUAUUGACUAGUCUUAUGCUACUGUAAAUGUAUUUCUUUCCAAGGCAUAGGGAAUGUUUUAAUAAUAUAAUCUUGACUAUUUCUGAAAUCUCAGGGUUGACCCCUUUAUGUUGAAAAGUCUUAGACUCUCAUCCAGUUCAAUCUAUCAGGCUGAGAAGCCAAUUUUGAAAAGCACAGACCUUAGGAAGGACUGUGGAAUAGGUUAUAGGCUGCCAAGAACUAUAUGGGGCUGCCCAAUGCCAGCCCAGGAGUAAGAUUAAAGGAUGUGCCUAUUUUCCCUCAACUAAGGCAUAAAAUUGUGAAUCAUUGUUUAUAAUAGAUCACACUAUAAAAUAUCAAUUAACUCAAAUGGUGCGAAAUGGUUGAUAUUUUGGUUACCUGGAAGUGAACAGAAAACCCCUUUAUUUAGUACAACCACCUUUUGGGAAUUCUAGGUCACAGAAUUCAACAUUUCUCUAAGGAAUGAGGACCAGGAGAAGCUUAUCAAAUAGGACUUAGCAAAAUAAGAUACUUUCCAAGAUAACCUUCUACCAGGACACAUUUAUUAGGGAUCUCUUUUGUAUAUUCCUACCCACUACCACUUUCAAGCUUGUAACUUAGUAUGACGUGAGAUUUGUGACCCCCAUUUUACAGAUGAGGGUUGUUGAGGUUUUGAGACUUGCUAGAACCACGAUGUUCACUGUCUUUACGUCCUAGUUGUUUACAACUCUAAAUCCACUUUCUUCCUGGGCUAUUCUUCCUCAGUUUAAAUUCUGGCCCACAUGUUCCAUCAGCCAAAUUGGCAAUGCUCUCAAAGAGACUUUGAAAGAAGCACAGUGCAUCCCUGUGGCCAGUAUGAUAAACAGCAGGAAGCAAGCUUUCACAUUUUAAGCAAAGGGAAAACUUAACAGCAUGUAAUAGUGGCAACCUUAAGAACACUUGAAAUAUGUUGUCCCUAAAUUAAGAUCUUGGAAACUCAUAUAAAAGGCUUCUUCUCUUUUAGGAGGUUUUCAUUUUUUCUGGUUUUUGUUUUGAUUUAUUUUUAUUAAAGUUUGGGUUUGUGUAUGUAUGCAUUUUGCAAUAUAAGAUUUUCUUUUAUUUUUAUAAUUUCCUACAUGACAUACCAUAGUACAAAAACUUUUACAUGCCUAAUUUCAUUUAAUCCUCACAAUGGCCUUAUGAUAUCAGUGCUACUAAUUACCACUAUUCCUCAUUCUAUAAUGAAGGAAACUGAAUUUCAGAGAUGCCAUGUAACAUGACUGGUUAUGCCGUGGAAGCUAGGACUCCAGCUCAGGAUUAUAGGAGCUGAGACAACAUGAUUAUUUGAAAUGCUAAUAAAAUUAAUCAAGAGUUUGCUCACAUAUUUGACAUAAUUGAUCAUUGAUGACAUCUCUUGAGCCUCAAUUCUUAUGCAGAGCUUCGCUAGCUUCACCCAAGACAAAUGUACAGUCGCUGAAGCCCUUCAAAGCACCUACAAAGAUCUUUCCUUUUACCAUCUAGAGCAGUUGCAGGCCAGACUCUGAGAAGAUUCUAUUACCCUUAAGUGGAAUACAUCAUGAGAAUCAAUCAAAGUCAGUAACUUCCUACUAACAGACUGUUUGAAAACAUUUUACAUCAUCGUUCCAUUGGAUAUUUUAACGGUUUGUCAAGCAGAUAAAAUUCUGUCUUGUUUCAGAGAAAGAAACUGAAAAGCCAACUAACCUCUGGGCACAUGUUGAAUAUAACCACGGAGGACCUACUUCAAAAAACAUAAAUAAAUCCAAAAAAUGGAGUUGGAUUACCCUUUUUCUUUUCAUAGAGGAACUCUGGGAUUCCCAGACACAAGACUCUAAAUCUGUUUUCUAAAGAACAAUGGGGGAGAGAUGGUUAAGAUACCACAAAGACAAUUAUUUCAUGGACCUUCAGCAUUAGUCAUGCCAUUCAUCUUCUAUGUGAUUAUGAAGUAUGGUCAAUUACAACGUAGUUUAUCCAAAUUGAUAAGGUUGCUACAGAAGAAUUUCAUGACUAAACACUAUUUUAUGUUGAGGAUAUUUGCUACGUAUGCACUUAGACAAAACACCAAAUGUAUUUCCUUUAAGAAUGGGGUAAAGAGGGAUAUGAGACAAAUGCUAUAGAGCUGAGGGAAAAGAAUCACUUAAAAGAGUAAAAAUUUGGAUUGUCUGACCAAUGGCUCAGAUAAAAUUGAAGUCAUUGAUUAAAAUGGGGACACAGAAUUCAAAGAAUCAUAGGCUAUAGAUAUGUUUAAGCUGAAAAGAAGCUAACUAUACAUUUCCUUCAAGAACUUCAAAUGAACAAAAUAACCCAAAAUAAUCAAGUGCCUUGCCUGAGGUCACACAACUCUUGGAUAGUAAAAUGGUCUCAAUUUUCACGGCUACCAGUUCUGUUAUUACCGAAACUCUCCACUUCUCUCAACUGCCCAUUUUAUUGUCAUAUAGGUACUGAAAAAUCAAAUAACAAAUAAAUAGCUGUAUCAAUUCAGCCAGAUACAAAAUACCACUUUUUUUUUCCUUCCUUCAUUGCCUUACUUUGCCCCAGUUUAACCAUUCUCUUUGUCAAGUUUUCAUUUUAUGUUUUGAUUUCCAUUGUUUCUUCCUCUUGGUUAUCUUCCUGGACCUCUCUUCUACUUAGUGAAAAUCUUUUAAGGAAAUGUGUGUUAAGAGGUUUCUGGCGGAAACAUCUAUUUCGAUCAAUAAGAUAGUCAUAGCAACUCCUUUCAAGAGUAUUUACAAAUUCAGUUGAUUCUGCCUCAUUUAGUGCAGGCUGUGGAUCAGGUACUAUGCAGUGUGCUUUACAGGUGUUUUUUCCAUUCACUCCUCAAUUCCAUUCCCACAGAUAAGGAAAAGGAAGGUCAAGGAAGUUAAUAAUUAUAAGACCUGGGCUAUUCACUUACGUGGUGGGUUCAGAAUUCAAACUCAGAUCUCAAUCCAUCAGUAAGUACAUCUUAUUUUGAUGCAAAAAGGAACUUAAGUUUUCCAUUCUAAAAAGUAGGCUUCCACAAGCUGUUUCUUUUCUCAGCCUCUGCAAGUUAUGAAUUUAUAAACAGAUGAAACCAUGACAGUAGAUGAAGCUAUCCCCAUUUUCUUUGACCAUUUCCAUCUUAUUAAAAUUUUAAACAUAUUAAUUACUAAUUAGACAAACCUAGAUGGCAAUCACAGAGAUUUAAUUUAUCCAAUAUCAUUUAUCUGAGGGUGAGAUUUGUCACUUGGAAAUGAUAAUUAACUCAUCAAAAAUGUUUUGGGAUUGGAAGGAAAAAAUUAAAAGGAAGUACUCAGGAUUUAUGCUAAAAAAAAAGCAGCAGAGAAUCUCACUGUUACUGAAAAUAUGAGUGCAAGGCAAAACAGCUUUCCAAUAGGUAUUAUUUUGUGCUUCCAAAGCUAAGAAUUCUUAGUAAAGAGGACACAAUUCCAGAAAGAUCUCUGGAUAUUGUAACACUUUAUUAUUUUUUUUUUAGGGCCCACCUUCGGCUCAUGGAGGUUCCCAGGCUAGGGGUCGAAUUGGAGCUGUAGCUGCUGGCCUACGCCACAGCCACGCCAGAUCCAAGCCACAUCUGCAACCUAGACCACAGCUCAGGGCAAUACCCAGAUCCUUAACCCACUGAGUAAGACCAGGGAUGGACCCUGCCCCCUCAUGGAUGCUAGUCAGAUUCAUUUCUGCUGAGUCACGACGGCAACUCCUAUUUUAAUGUAAGCUUAGUGGUUUGUAAAUAUUGGUUUUCUAAUGCCUAAGAGAAUUAGAAUUUGAUUUUCAAAGACCUUUUUUGUUAUUGUUGUUGUUGUUCUUAUUUUUUCUGUUUUCUAAGGAAGAGGUAAACUAUGUCUAUACUAAGUCUUUUUAUAUUGUCUCUCUGCCUCUAUAACAUACAAACACUGAAGACAGACACAGAGUAAGUAACAAAUUGUAUUAUCAAUGAUACUGAGCAAAGAAUGUUAGCUUUUUUUUCUUCAAAGUUUAUUGAGAGCUUAU
rnacentral:lncRNA from 1 species